AAUAAACUUCAGAAAAAAAAAAUGAGUGAAAGCAAAUAUGACAAGACACGAGACAGAAAAACCAGAGAACAGAAGACUCGUCAUGAGGAAGAGGGGAAAAGAGACGUGUGGGUGCAAGAAAGAGGGGUGGGAUUGCCCAGGGGCGAUAAAUAGAUUUGAAAAGAAUCAGAUAGUAUAGGAAAGGGGCUGAGACUGAGAGAAAACAGCAGACUCUUGUGUUCUCCUUUCUUGCAGUCUGUGCCCCAGGUUUCUGUUUGUGAAACAAGGAAAGUUGCUGUCUGAGGGUUGGCAGGGAGCGGGCACCUUUCUCCUCGCCCACCUGCCAGAAGCCCUUCCCACGCGGGCGCAGCACAGCUUGCAGCAUGGUAGCAGCAGGUUCAACAGCCACGUUGUAUUCCACUAGAAAUUCAGCCAUAACUGCAGUUUUCUCUGUACUAUCUAACUGCAGAUUGUGUCUUGAAUUUUGUUUUCAGCCUUCCGCUGUAAAUACAGAGCUACUCCACUAGUUUGUAUUCACACUGUGUAAUUGAGCAAAACUUGGCUCAAUGCCUUUAUUGAAGAAUGAACAGUUUCCAAACAAAAAAUUCCUGUACUCUAACUAUGGUUUUCUCUCUCUCCAGUUGGGUUUAGAAAAGGCUGAAAUUGGUACUAUGUUGUGUUAUAGCAUCUUCCAAGGAUUUCAAAAUGCUUUACAAAUAAGUAAACCAACUUUGUAAUACAAAGAUUAUUUACAAAUAGGUGAAUGGGGUUGGAAACCGGUCAAAUAAUUUGCUCAAGGUCUAUAUGUCUUAGAUCUGACUUCUAGCCCCAUAUUGUUACCACAGCAGCUUUAAAUAAUUCCCCCCACAAGGGGCUUGGCAACACCUUUAGACGUAAAACAAUGAUAAUACAAUGAGGAUAGACUGAAAUAUCCCCUUAAAACAAAUUACAAAAUCUUUCAUCAAGAGAGGAAAGGACUUUAAAAUUUACACACAGAGAGGAAUAUGCAUAAGAACCAAUGGGUCCAACCAAUGGUCCAUCAAGCCCAAUAUCUUGUCUCUUGCCAGUGGUGAGUACAAGAGCUUCAGGGAGGAGUUUACAGAACAGUGCAAUUUUAGGGAAACCUACUGCUGUCUUCCCCUCCCAGCUUCUAUCAGUUGGAGGUUUAUUACUUCCCUCCGAUGAAUGAGACUGACAACAUUUGCAGGAAAGAUCUCUAAGCCCCUUAUCCUGAUACGUAACUGUCAUGCCAAAUUUUUGUUUUCUCUCUGAAAAGACAUAGAGAGGAGCCCUUGCUGGUGGGAUUUUAUGAACUCUGCAGGAGGCAGUAUGCAGGCUAGAAAAAGGUGGACAGACCUAGACUGCUGGUAUUAUUCACGCUUCAAUUGUGUGGACAAUUUUUACUGUCUCAAGUGGGGGAGCAGGCUGUCCCCCACAGAAACACCUUUUCAACCAUUGCCUUUUCUUUGUUGCUGUACUCUAGCAUGACAUGAUAUGGGGUCCAGUAACUUAAUCUACUAUUCUUAAUCUUUUUUUUUUUUAAGACUGGUAAGCCCAUGUGUACAUAGUUAUACUAUGGUAAACUUGGUUCAAGUUUAAUUUAGUUUAUGUAUCUGGUAGUUACAGCAUUGGAAGAAUUCACAGGGCUACAUGACUGAAAGGCAGAAAGUACCCUGGCCCCUGGAGCUACCUGCCUUUUUCCAGCCACAUGCUUCCGUUGCCUCUCUGAGUGCACAGAAUCACACUUGGUACUGCUGGCCGUGACAUCAUCAGGUAAAGGAAAUACACUAAGGAAACAAUAAAUGUUAUCCAGGCCUUCAUGAGCCUAGACUUACAGGGGAGACACCACAGAUUUUCAGGUGACCACGUAUUAGGUAAUAUCCCACCUUUGAAAUGAAGAUGACGAACACUCUUCCCCUCUCUGUUGCAAUAACAACCUCUACUUUUUAAAGUGGGUAGAAUAAUGUAAUUGGAGACAAUAAUUGUGUGUUUGCUCAACAGCCAGAUAGGAAAUCUUCCUUUCCAGCUGGUGAGAUGAGCUCCACGGACUGUGUAAUCAGCAUGGUUGUUGAAGGGUUCUUCUGACUGGCUGCAGUGAUAUUUUAGUCAGUCCAAAGUAGGAAAGCAGAAGGCAAAUAGUGAAGCAGCCCAGUUUACGGGUUGCUGUAGGACGGUUGUCCUCAGAAAGGUAACUAAACAACCAGCUGAAGCUUUUUUUUUUUUAAAGUGAUUAACUAUGGUUCCAUGGAAGACUAAUCAAUGAAAGUUUACAUUAAAAACAAAAAAUACCCCCAUAGAAUUAAGAUGCAUGCCUACCAGCCAAUCACUGUGCUUGCACAGCAUAGCCCAUUUCCCCUCCCUGAGUAGAUCUUUUUUGUUUUGACUGAACUCUUCAGGGCAGAGACUCUUGAGUUUGUA